GACGAACGCUGGCGGCGUGCUUAACACAUGCAAGUCGAACGGAAAGGCCCUGCUUUUGUGGGGUGCUCGAGUGGCGAACGGGUGAGUAACACGUGAGUAACCUGCCCUUGACUUUGGGAUAACUUCAGGAAACUGGGGCUAAUACCGGAUAGGAGCUCCUGCUGCAUGGUGGGGGUUGGAAAGUUUCGGCGGUUGGGGAUGGACUCGCGGCUUAUCAGCUUGUUGGUGGGGUAGUGGCUUACCAAGGCUUUGACGGGUAGCCGGCCUGAGAGGGUGACCGGCCACAUUGGGACUGAGAUACGGCCCAGACUCCUACGGGAGGCAGCAGUGGAGAAUAUUGCACAAUGGGCGGAAGCCUGAUGCAGCAAAGCCGCGUGCGGGAUGACGGCCUUCGGGUUGUAAACCGCUUUCGCCUGUGACGAAGCGUGAGUGACGGUAAUGGGUAAAGAAGCACCGGCUAACUACGUG
rnacentral:rRNA from 1 species